UUGCUCCUCUGACGUUAGCGGCGGACGGGUGAGUAACACGUGGAUAACCUACCUAUAAGACUGGGAUAACUUCGGGAAACCGGAGCUAAUACCGGAUAAUAUAUUGAACCGCAUGGUUCAAUAGUGAAAGACGGUUUUGCUGUCACUUAUAGAUGGAUCCGCGCCGCAUUAGCUAGUUGGUAAGGUAACGGCUUACCAAGGCAACGAUGCGUAGCCGACCUGAGAGGGUGAUCGGCCACACUGGAACUGAGACACGGUCCAGACUCCUACGGGAGGCAGCAGUAGGGAAUCUUCCGCAAUGGGCGAAAGCUUGACGGAGCAACGCCGCGUGAGUGAUGAAGGUCUUCGGAUCGUAAAACUCUGUUAUUAGGGAAGAACAAAUGUGUAAGUAACUAUGCACGUCUUGACGGUACCUAAUCAGAAAGCCACGGCUAACUACGUGCCAGCAGCCGCGGUAAUACGUAGGUGGCAAGCGUUAU
rnacentral:rRNA from 1 species